GACGAACGCUGGCGGCGUGCCUAAUACAUGCAAGUUGAGCGAUGAAGAUUGGUGCUUGCACCAAUUUGAAGAGCAGCGAACGGGUGAGUAACGCGUGGGGAAUCUGCCUUUGAGCGGGGGACAACAUUUGGAAACGAAUGCUAAUACCGCAUAACAACUUUAAACAUAAGUUUUAAGUUUGAAAGAUGCAAUUGCAUCACUCAAAGAUGAUCCCGCGUUGUAUUAGCUAGUUGGUGAGGUAAAGGCUCACCAAGGCGAUGACACAUAGCCAACCUGAGAGGGUGAUCGGCCACAUUGGGACUGAGACACGGCCCAAACCCCUACGGGAGGCAGCAGUAGGGAAUCUUCGGCAAUGGACGAAAGUCUGACCGAGCAACGCCGCGUGAGUGAAGAAGGUUUUCGGAUCGUAAAACUCUGUUGGUAGAGAAGAACGUUGGUGAGAGUGGAAAGCUCAUCAAGUGACGGUAACUACCCAGAAAGGGACGGCUAACUACGUG
rnacentral:rRNA from 1 species